AAAAAAGGAACAAAUAGUUCACUCAUUCAUUCAUCCCGUCAUUCACUCAUUCAUUCCAAAUCCUGUGUUAGCUGAUGCAGACCCAGCAGUGAACAAGACCAGCAGGUCUCUGCCCUCGCAGAGGGUGCGGUCUAGAGGGUAAGACAAUGCUUAGCUGGCCACUCACAAUGGAGAGUGGUGAGUGCUAGGGAGGAACACGUUUUCCAGGGUCACGCUGGGUUUCCAAAAGGUUUCGCCUAAGCUGAAGGCUGAGCCCUGGCACUGGAGAUCAAGCCCUUCAAUUCCCAGUUGUCUCCACUGGAUUUUCUCAGUUGUUUGGUCUAGUUGCUUUCUGUGCAGUACAGAAUCUAUUUUUUUUUUUUUUUUUUUUUUUUUUGCUCAUUAAGGUAAACUCUAAAUUCUGCUUCAUGUGGGCUGAAAGGGAAUCGAAUAAUAAGAGAGUGUGAGUUUAACUUUGAGAAACUUAAAGGAAUUUUAUAAUUGACAAGUGGACCUGGACAUUUUUAAGGAAAAUGACUGCGAUGAACACCUAGCCCAGGGCAAGUCAGAGAAUGGAUUUGAAUGAAGAGUCAUUGAAUGGAAGUGUGCAAUGAAUUAAACUGCAGCUAAAAAUGUAAUUGGAACAGGCCUGUAGGCGGAGCUCUCAAACCCGACCAGGCGUCUUUAAUUACGCUGAAUUGGAACAACUGCACACCUACACCUGCAGCAGGAAGAAAAGUUCUCUCCGCCCCAUGACAGCCCAGCCAAUCAGAGACUAACAGUCCAACCAAUGAGAAGCCUCCAUACUUUGGAUUCUCAGCUUCCUCCAUUGGACUCUUUGGUUAUUUCAGCUCCUCCAAACGCCUCCUGCUCUUUACUCUAUAAAAGUUAAAAGUUCGGUCUCCUUGUCCUAUGUUUUGCCAGGGCUCUGCAGUAGUUCUUGUAUCCGGUGUGCAACUCUUCCGGCUCAUCUCGCAAGUACCACUUUUGCAGGGAAUCCCCAUGUUUACAAGUUGAAAUCCAAAAUGCACAAAUGGUCAGCUCACAAUUCUUUGACCCGUGAACAUCUGUGGGCCUGGGUGUUCCCUGGGAAUCGGCAGUGCCGGAGCUGUGAGCCAAGCCUGCCCUAGGCAGAAAGGAAUUCUCAAGAAGUGCAACAGUCGGGAGUUUCAUGAUUCUGACCCACAGAACUGUUUUCCUGCCUGAAUGGCCAUGGAGCAUCACUCUGCCUUUUGAGAAACACUGCCAUUAUCUACAAAAUUCAUUUAAGCCCAAAUGGCUCAUUGGAUAGGCCUGCAGGCAUGUGGAGUUGGCCUCUGUCCAGUCCAGUAUCUGAAAGCAUGGAAAUGCCCUUCCUUCGGCCCCUGUAAAUUCCGAUUGAGGCAACAGCAAAACCUCUCAGGGAGAACAUUUCUGGAUCAGAACCUGCUCCCUUGGGAGGUUAGCAUCACCCAGCUUUGGAGGGUCUGCAUGUCUGAGAAAGAGAUCAAGGUGCAGACUUUGGAUCUUGGAACAUUCCACCAAGUGACGUGGAAAGGCACAGCCUUGUUCUCCCACGGGACCGCAAACAGGGCGUGUAGAGACUCGCUGUCAUAGCUGAGGAUUCUGAUGACGCGUCCUGACACCUAACGGACCAGAGCAUAUAGUAAUGAGGCCAGCAGCUGUUUAGUGCCAUCUAAUUACAAGAGCAAGAGUUUCUAGGAGGAGUUCCCUGGUGGGCUACCUGUUAAGGAUCCUGAGUUGUCCCACCGAUAAGGCACAGGUUUGAUCCCUGGCCUGGGAACUUCUGCAUGCUGUGGGUAUGGCCAAAAGAAAUGUAGAUUUCUUUUUCUUUCUUUUUUUUUUUUUUAAAUACGAGUUUCUAGAUUUUUAAAAAUACAUCUUUCCCCAAAUCACAUCUUAAGGAAGAAGCUUGGCCCCUUAAGAAGGCUAAGGGGGCUGUGAGGAACUGCAGGCACUUUUAUUUGCAGCUAUCGACAGAAUGGAAAAAAUGUCCACUUAUUUAUAUUCAUUUAUUUACAUGGGUAAUGAAUAAGUUAAGGAACACUUCAUCUCAAACACAGAUUGCUUUUAUUUUAGCUAAGCUAAUGUUUCAGUUCCAUAUAUAUUUUUGAAUUGCCAUCAAUGUCAAACACCAUUUUUUUCUUUCCUCUUAAAAAAAAAUGAUUUACAAGCACUUUUACGGCACUCAGGGAAAGUAGGCUGAAGGUUCAUAAUAAUAAUUUUCCUUUUAAAAAACAUCCAUCAGACCAAAAUAAAAUCAUUUUAAUUAACUCCUUCCUGAGUAACUAAAACCUUGGAAUGUGCUGAAAGGUUAUAAUAAAUAAGGCAGUCAAAGAUCAACCAGCUUAAAAUGUAUUUUUUAAAUUAAACUAUGUAAAAUGUACAAUAUAUUUCAUGAAGUACAAACUGUGUUGGGCUCAGGGCCAAAGACAUGUUGUCACGUGUGCCAAAGAAACUGAUGAAGUGCCUUGACUUUUAGGACCUGGAGGCUGUUGGUUGGGACAAAAUUACAUGAAGGUCCUGUAAGGCGGUCCAUCAGCAGCUCUCGAUGUGAUGUUACAGCGACCACUGCUGACAAGAAAUGCCUCUGAACACACAAGGAGAAGUGCUUCUGUGACCCUGCACUAAGAGGAUGCCUCUUUCAAUGACCGAUCAUCCUGAUGUUCAGACGACAGCAGAGAACACUUAGCCAGCCUUAGUUUCAGACACUGCGAUUGCACAGUGCGUCGAUCAACCAUCAUUCUUUCCAUGCGAUUUCAAAGAAAUGACUCACCAUAGGUCCCAAGCAGCAGCUCGUGCUCUUAUUCUGAAUAUGAUAGCUGCUCUCGGGUGGAUUUUUACAGUAAGCCUACCGGUAGGGCCCUGCUCUCUCUCAACAGGACAAAGGAUAUUUCCUCUUCUAAGAACAUUCCCCUUCAUCACUUCCCGGCCCCAGUUCUCUGAGGCAGAAAGGAGGCCCACAAGUGGUCAACUGCUGGACUCUGUGCCUUUGUGGUCCCAGCCUUCGCUGGCCUCCCGCGGGGUGGAGCCUUCUCAAUACAGCUCAUGAUAAAGUAGCUUUAGUGCACACUUGACAGGUUCCAAAUGACUUGCUUUAUAUCUUGGCUACCGUCCAAUUUUAGGGAACGAAGAAAAAAUUCUAGAGAGACUUGUUGGUUUCUGAAAAGUAGAAAAUGUGUAGCUUGUGUAAAGUCAGCGUCUUAUUUACUAUUAAGUAUUCCCAACUCACACUGGCUAGGGCUCCUGAAGGGUUGGCUCUAGGGGAAAAAACAUGAAGGAGACAAAAUUCGUCCCAAGUAUCCUGCCUGUCACCACCACCUGCAGCCCUGCCUCUCAGCUGGCUAUACAUUAUCCACCCAAGAGUAUGUGGUAUUGGGGGGGCAGGGGCAUGGCCAUAGAUGAAAACAUUCCAGAAGCCAAAGAAAGAGGUUUCUAAGGGCUGAAGCAAAGCCUCAUGGAUAGGUGGCAGGUGAUGGGAGUGGGAUGGGGAGGAGAUAUUUUGGAGCAAUGGAACUGCCCAACUUCUACUCAGAUCAUUGCAGGAGAGGGUGGGGGUGGGGGUGCAGACACCGACUCAUAAAGAUGGCCAAACAGUUUCUUACCCAGAAGCUCUUGUUUCUCUUACUGAUGCCCUAGCAGGGUUCUCAGGAGGGAGCUGAUUCCCUGCCAUUUGACUGCUGCCUGCACAGAGCUCAGUAUCCCUUUCUACCAAAAACGGGUACCUCUUAAGGGACUAGAAGGUAAAAGAUACCAGCUACUUUGGGAGCCAGCUGGCCAGAGGUGUGCCUGAUGGAUCAUGCAUGGUCUUGGUCAAGCCUAGAACUUAUGCCACAGGAGUCAAAUGUCAGGGCUAAACUGCUUCCUAGGUUUCCAGUUAAAGCGAUGCUGGUAAGAGAUGUUUUCUCUUGGGUGCAAAGGACACAGCCAUGCCAUUUUCCUAGGCCACUCAACCUCCAGAGUUGGUCUGUCCUGCCUAUGUGCCUCCUUACACAGCCAGCAAGUUCUUUGCCCGGUUCUGCUAUUUUGAAAUCUGUCAGAAUGGUCUCAAGGGAGCUUGCCUUGCACUUUGACCUUGAGAGGUACUCAGGGCUUGGGGUGUGACAAGCCGCCUUGCUCUAUGAGACGGUAAGUGCCCUGCUCUUGGUGAAAGUGUCCCCUGAGAGGAACCAGAGGCAGACCUCUGUCCCCAUGGGCAGAAUCCACUUCUCCAGGGACAUUCUCCAUUUCGAUGUCCUUGUCUGCCUUGCCUUCUCCUCUUAGAUCCUUCUAGAAUAGAUUCUCUGGUCUCUGAAGUGGUUUGGGGUUUCUACUGAAAAAUACAAGCAUGGGUGUUUCUUACCACCGAGGUAAUAUUUUUUACAAGUCUUUUUACCAAUGAUUAGUUACUGGGCUCUAGGCUCUAUUUCUCCUCCUCUCAUGAUGCUAGGGGAAGAAAAGUGAUUUGAUGACGUGAUGCCUUGUGAGGCAGCCAUCUAGUGUACCUGGGAAGGACCAAGAAGCCAGAAAGACACAGAA